rnacentral:snRNA from 1 species
UCUUGAAUUCUUGCAUUUCAUGAU